rnacentral:lncRNA from 1 species
UGUACCCGUAUAUGUAUAGAGACCACCAUUUUUGUACUAGAGACGGUUAUUGUACUACUUAUGGUUAUAUUUGUUUGACUAGCUUUAUUUUCUUUACUUUGGUGUAGAUGAUAGAACUUUACUUGCUCUGACAUCAGUAGUUGCUAGUUAUUUCGCUACUUUUAUUUGUUCUAUCUCCUGCUUUUACUUCCGCUUUUAGUGUAGACGCCUUAUAUGUGUAGACAUAUGGCGAGUCUGGGCACGCUACCGGGAGG